rnacentral:tRNA from 1 species
GGCUCGGUGGCUUAGUUGUUAAAGCGCUCGUCUAGCAUACAAGAGUCAUGGGUCCAAAUCCCAGCCAAGCAC